GUGAAAGUGAUAAAGUGGUGAUUUAUAAGAAUAUCCGAAGUGUCUGGACAAUGGAAAAUCAAGGAGAAAUGUGCGCAAUGUCUAAAGUACUUCAAGAUCUUUUGGCAAGUUUAAAAGAAAAUUUGUGAAUUUCUACAAAAAAACAGCGAAAUACAAUACUGCACACUUUUUGGGUUGGACAACUCGACAAGACUCCUUUUGUCAGAGUGUGUGAUAGAAUAUGAGUAUGGGUCUCAUACGAGCAGAGUGUACGUUUUUAGACGACUUACUACAUCCCUUCAAGUACUAGAGGAAAAGGAAAGUCUGAAGCGGGGAAGCUGUACGACCAGUACGCCAAUUUAAAUUAAAUCCUAAGAAAAGUUAAAUUGAGAGCAAUACGUCUAGGGUAACAGGACACGGUACUCGAGCUCUGGGGAAGAAACGGAGAUAUUCCAUCUCUUCCUCCGAAACCAAAUGCGGACGACCAUAGUCUCGAAAGAGAUCUGAAGUAUCUGGAAACAUAUGUUGAGCCAUGGUCGAAAAUCAAGGAGAAAUGGGAAAGGACAUGUUCAUACCGUAUGAACUAUUUGCGGAGUAAGCAGCAAGAAGAUGUAGACACAAAAUGUGCUGCCUACAUUUCCAAAUAUCUAGCCUUGAGUCAGCCUGCAGGUCAUCUUUUGUUGGAGCAUGACUUCGGAAUGUUAUUCAAUAAUGCAGCAAAUCGUAUGGAGACUGCCUGGUUAGAAUUCUCAAAGAACUUGAGGUCAGAGUUCAGAAGGCAGAAA